AGAGACUAGCUACCAUUGUCAGAGUAAUCUGCAGGAUUGUGCAUGAAACCUUGUUCCAUAAACAGGGUUUAAAUCCUUUAUCCGAAUAAAUGAAGAACCCUUAAA